rnacentral:rRNA from 1 species
UACAGAGGUCUCAAGCGUUGUUCGGAUUCAUUGGGCGUAAAGGGUGCGUAGGUGGCGCCAUAAGUCAGGUGUGAAAUCUCGGGGCUCAACCCCGAAACUGCAUUUGAUACUGUGGUGCUCGAGUACUGGAGAGGAGAUUGGAAUUUACGGUGUAGCAGUGAAAUGCGUAGAUAUCGUAAGGAAGACCAGUGGCGAAGGCGAAUCUCUGGACAGUUACUGACACUGAGGCACGAAGGCCAGGGGAGCAACGGG